AUAGCGUAUAUUAAAGUUGUUGCGGUUAAAAAGCUCGUAGUUGGAUCUCAGUUCGUGCCUGUCGGUCCGUCUCUGAAAGGCGGCCACUGACAGUUGCCGGACAGCUUAUCGAUUAGUGUUUCCCGAGAGGGGACACUCGUAAGGUCCCAUGGUGCUCUUCACCGGGUGUCAUGGGCGAUCGAUACGUUUACUUUGAAAAAAUUAGAGUGCUCAAAGCAGGCGUUGCUUUCAUUGGUGUACGCCCGAAUAAUGUUGCAUGGAAUAAUGGAAUAGGACCUCGGUUCUGUUUUGUUGGUCUUAAGGACCUGAGGUAAUGAUUAAGAGGGACAGACGGGGGCAUUCGUAUUGCAGCGCUAGAGGUGAAAUUCUUGGACCGUUGCAAGACGAACUAAGG
rnacentral:rRNA from 1 species